AUUGAACGCUGGCGGCAGGCCUAACACAUGCAAGUCGAACGAGUGGCGGACGGGUGAGUAAUGUAUGGGAAACUGCCUGAGGGAGGGGGAUAACUACUGGAAACUGUAGCUAAUACCGCAUACCAUCGGAUGUGCCCAGAUGGGUGUGGCUAGUGGGUGGGGAAACGGCUCACCAAGGCGUCGAGCCCUAGCUGGUCUGUGAGGAUGACCAGCCACACUGGAACUGAGACACGGCCCAGACUCCUACGGGAGGCAGCAGUGGGGAAUAUUGCACAAUGGGCGCAAGCCUGAUGCAGCCAUGCCGCGUGGAUGAAGAAGGCCUUCGGGUUUUAAAGUACUUUCAGCGGGGAGACGUUACCCGCAGAAGAAGCACCGGCUAACUCCGUGCCAGCAGCCGCGGUAAUAC
rnacentral:rRNA from 1 species